rnacentral:misc_RNA from 1 species
GUGAAUCAUCAAAUUUUUGAACGCAAAUUGCACUCUCUGCGAAGAGUAUGCCUGUUUGAGGGUCAGCCUAAAAAAAAUCGACAUCGUUGCUGUUGCUCGGUAACGUGCGUCGGAGAUUGGGUCAUCUUGAGCCUUUUGGGUUAAGCGGCUUAAAAUUUUCGUUACGAUUCCGAGAGCAUUUCUAAGAUUUUAUUUUCUUAUAGGUUUAGGGUAUCUAUUUUUUUUAGACGUGCCCGUUGCUUCGGAUCUCG